rnacentral:lncRNA from 1 species
UAAAAGAGAGGAUUAAGGGCACAGAAAGGAGAGAAGUUAGGGUAGAGUGGGUGAAGAGCUCUGAGUGAUUGAUUGCAUGGUUUACCUAACCACAGAUUAACCACAAGCAAGCAUUUCAGCCCCAGCAGUAAUGCUGGUCAGUUUCUGAAUUGUACCCCUGUACUAUGAAGGGAUUUUUUCCCACUGGUUCUUUUACAUUUGCAGCUUCCCAAUGAUGACAUUGUUACCAUCCCUGUCUACAGCCUCUGUCGUCACGCUGGGACCUUGUUGCUGACCCUGGAUGACUGACCACCACCUAGGAUGAACCUCCCCUCUGGAUGGAUGGUCUCUGGAUUGGUGAUGGAUUGGAUUCCAGGGCCUCUGAGGAAGAUGUUUACCUUCCUCUCAGUUAACUGUGAGCUUUAGUGGAGCCCAACACCAUCCCAGUUGGGGUCUCAGAACCACUGCCAGUGGUUGGUUUAGGG